rnacentral:rRNA from 1 species
CCUACGGGAGGCAGCAGUGGGGAAUAUUGGACAAUGGGGGCAACCCUGAUCCAGCAAUGCCGCGUGAGUGAUGAAGGCCUUCGGGUUGUAAAGCUCUUUUGUCAGGGACGAUAAUGACGGUACCUGACGAAUAAGCUCCGGCUAACUUCGUGCCAGCAGCCGCGGUAAUACGAAGGGAGCUAGCGUUGUUCGGAAUUACUGGGCGUAAAGGGCGCGUAGGCGGCUUUAUAAGUCAGAUGUGAAAUCCCUGGGCUUAACCUAGGAAUGGCAUUUGAUACUGUAAGGCUAGAGAUCGAGAGAGGAUAGUGGAAUUGCGAGUGUAGAGGUGAAAUUCGUAGAUAUUCGCAAGAACACCGGUGGCGAAGGCGGCUAUCUGGCUCGAUACUGACGCUAAGGCGCGAAAGCGUGGGGAGCAAACAGGAUUAGAUACCCUGGUAGUCCACGCUGUAAACGAUGAAUACUAGAUGUUGGGAGAGCAUACUCUCAGUGUCGCAGCUACGACAUAAGUAGUUCCGUCCGUGGGAGGUACGGUCGGCGAAGUAAGUUAAACGUUAACAAAGUAGUUAAGUUAGUACGGCGUUGAGACGUUGCCGACGGACGACGACGAGGGGAGGAGG